UACGUAGGGAGCAAGCGUUGUCCGGAAUCAUUGGGCGUAAAGCGCGCGUAGGUGGCCUCAUAAGUCCGCUGUGAAAGUCAAAGGCUCAACCUUUGAAAGCCGGUCGGAUACUGUGAGGCUAGAGUACGGAAGAGGCGAGUGGAAUUCCUGGUGUAGCGGUGGAAUGCGCAGAUAUCAGGAGGAACACCAAUAGCGAAGGCAGCUCGCUGGGACGUACUGACACUGGAGGCGCGAAAGCGUGGGGAGCGAACAGG
rnacentral:rRNA from 1 species